rnacentral:rRNA from 1 species
GACGAACGCUGGCGGCGUGCCUAAUACAUGCAAGUCGAACGCAGUGGGGACGGGGAAGUAACACGUGGGUAACCUCCAAUCAGAGGGGAUAACACUUGGAAACAGGUGCUAAACCGGUAUUGAUGGAUGGAGCCGGGGUGCAUUAGCUAGUUGGUGAGGUAAAGGCUCACCAAGGCGACGAUGCAUAGCCGGCCUGAGAGGAUGAUCAGCCACACUGGAACUGAGACACGGCCCAGACUCCUACGGGAGGCAGCAGUAGGGAAUCUUCGACAAUGGACGAAAGCCUGACCGAGCCACGCCGCGUGAGUGAAGAAGGUUUUCGGAUCGUAAAGCUCUGUUGGUAGGGAGGCGGUAUCUAAAGAGAAAGCAACGGCUAACUACGUGCCAGCAGCCGCGGUAAUUC